rnacentral:rRNA from 1 species
AUGGCAAAGUCAAAAAAGAGCAAGGAAAAUAAUAUAGUAGGGAGUGUUGUUACUCGUCAGGUGAAACGGAAAAGGAUUUGCCGUCGAGAUUCUGCUGGUACUUAUAGUGCAGUAGAAGGUCCAAGUCCACCGGCUAAAUCUACAAACACAGUAUCACCUGCUCCACCAGCUGCAGCAUCCGCUUCAAUUGUACCAGCAUCUCAACCAGUUACUCGUUUGUUUGCUCCGGAACUGGCCAGUUCCCAAGCUACCUUCACACCUAACACUACUUCUGAAGCACUGCUGACACAACAGGCCUUGGCAAGAUCAGAUGAACCUCAUGAGCAUCAACACCAAGACGCACCACGGCGCAAGCGGAAACAGACAUUAGGGAUAAUGCUUGACAGAUUAACAAAAUCUAAAGGAGGAAGAAUGGAGAUCCAUUUUGAGGCAGGUUUAAAAAGGCCACGUAAUGCUGCAGAGUCAGCCAAGUUAGUAUCAAAGGCAGCCGUUGCCGUUAGGUGUCAUGCACGUAUCCUUCCAACGUGGAUCCAGUACAGGAAUGAGAAAGACAAUACCCAGUUUAACACCUUCCUUGACCUUUUAUCCAUAAAUGAGGUUCAAGUUGGAUCCGAAAGAUGA